CAGUAGCCGCGGGAAUACGUAGGGUGCAAGCGUUAAUCGGAAUUACUGGGCGUAAAGCGUGCGCAGGCGGUUAUAUAAGACAGAUGCGAAAUCCCCGGGCUCAACCUGGGAACUGCAUUUGUGACUGUAUAGCUAGAGUACGGCAGAGGGGGAUGGAAUUCCGCGUGUAGCAGUGAAAUGCGUAGAUAUGCGGAGGAACACCGAUGGCGAAGGCAAUCCCCUGGGCCUGUACUGACGCUCAUGCACGAAAGCGUGGGGAGCAAACAGGAUUAGAUACCCGAGUAGUCCCUGUCUCUUAUAC
rnacentral:rRNA from 1 species